rnacentral:tRNA from 1 species
GCAGUCGCGGCCGAAAGUUUCAAGCGAUGGACUCGAAGUUCAUUGGGGUCUCCCCGCACAGGUUCGAAUCUUGUUGACUACG